rnacentral:rRNA from 1 species
AGUGAACGCUGGCGGUAGGCCUAACACAUGCAAGUCGAACGGCAGCACAGUAAGAGCUUGCUCUUACGGGUGGCGAGUGGCGGACGGGUGAGGAAUACAUCGGAAUCUACUUUUUCGUGGGGGAUAACGUAGGGAAACUUACGUUAAUACCGCAUACGACCUACAGGUGAAAGCAGGGGAUCUUCGGACCUUGCGCGAUUGAAUGAGCCGAUGUCGGAUUAGCUAGUUGGCGGGGUAAAGGCCCACCAAGGCGACGAUCCGUAGCUGGUCUGAGAGGAUGAUCAGCCACACUGGAACUGAGACACGGUCCAGACUCCUACGGGAGGCAGCAGUGGGGAAUAUUGGACAAUGGGCGCAAGCCUGAUCCAGCCAUACCGCGUGGGUGAAGAAGGCCUUCGGGUUGUAAAGCCCUUUUGUUGGGAAAGAAAAGCAGCAGGUUAAGACCCCGCUGUUCUGACGGUACCCAAAGAAGAAGCACCGGCUAACUUCGU